GACGAACGCUGGCGGCGUGCUUAACACAUGCAAGUCGAACGGAAAGGCCCCUUUGGGGGUCCUCGAGUGGCGAACGGGUGAGUAACACGUGAGUAACCUGCCCUUGACUUCGGGAUAACUUCAGGAAACUGGGGCUAAUACCGGAUAGGAAUCCUUGCUGCAUGGUGGGGGUUGGAAGGCUCGGCGGGUUUGGGUGGAAUGGCCGCGUGUCGGCUUGGUGGUGGGGUAGUGGGUUUCCAAGGCCUUGGCGGGUUGCCGGGCUGGGGGGGCGGACGGCCACAUUGGGACUGAGGUACGGCCCAGACUCCUACGGGAGGCAGCAGUGGGGAAUAUUGCACAAUGGGCGGGAGCCUGAUGCAGCAACGCCGCGUGCGGGAUGACGGCCUUCGGGUUGUAAACCGCUUUCAGCAGGGGCGAAGCUUGUGGUGACGGUACCUGCAGAAGAAGCACCGGCUAACUACGUG
rnacentral:rRNA from 1 species